rnacentral:rRNA from 1 species
GACAGAGGGUGCAAACGUUGUUCGGAAUUACUGGGCGUAAAGCGAGUGUAGGCGGUUCUCAAAGUCGGAUGUGAAAGCCCCGGGCUCAACCCGGGAAGUGCACCCGAUACUGGAGAGCUAGAGUGUCGGAGAGGUUGGUGGAAUUCUCGGUGUAGAGGUGAAAUUCGUAGAUAUCGAGAGGAACACCGGUGGCGAAGGCGGCCAU